rnacentral:rRNA from 1 species
AGUGAACGCUGGCGGCGUGCCUAAUACAUGCAAGUCGAACGGAAUUUAAAAGAGCUUGCUCUUUUAAAUUUAGUGGCGCACGGGUGAGUAAUAUAUAGCUAAUCUGCCCCUUGCUGGAGGACAACAGUUAGAAAUGACUGCUAAUACUCCAUACUCCUUUUUACCAUAAGAUAAAUCGGGAAAGAAUUUCGGCAAGGGAUGAGACUAUAUCGUAUCAGCUAGUCGGUGGGGUAACGGCCUACCGAGGCUAUGACGCGUAACUGGUCUGAGAGGAUGAUCAGUCACAUUGGAACUGAGACACGGUCCAAACUCCUACGGGAGGCAGCAGUAGGGAAUAUUGCGCAAUGGGGAAAACCCUGACGCAGCAACGCCGCGUGGAGGAUGACACUUUUCGGAGCGUAAACUCCUUUUGUUAGGGAAGAAUAAUGACGGUACCUAACGAUAAGC